rnacentral:antisense_RNA from 1 species
UUCAAUGGCGGUUCAGGCAGGGGAGACUCGUGUCUCGCCGGUUGAGAACUCCGGUAUUGCUAACCCUGUCUGAACUACCACCAAU